CGUUCAGUUUUUGGUCAUGCCUGAAGGCCAUCUCGAACUGUUUCCACCAAAUGGCGUUUUGGUAGAGGCAUGUUGCAUACUGGCAUCAUAUUCACAACCAUGGCAUGGAUUGAAAAGGAGCUGCAAGGUUCUUUCUUUAUCUCUUAUUCUCUUCUAGGCCCGGGUUGACCUUCAGCUCUGAGCUCCACCGGCGUCUUCAAAUUCCCGACGGCGCCGACCACGAGGCAUAGUCAGCGGCAUCUCAUCAAACCGCAACGAAAUGUUCUGGAUUGUGCGUGUUGCUCAGCCUUCGGAAUCUUUCAGGAAGCCUAACACCACUGUGCUGCUCGGCCGCCGCUGAACUCCCGAUUCGCCGGCAAAUCACCCUCGGGCGUUGCUCGGUGUUCCAGGAUGGUGAACCAAGCACCGACCCAGUGACCCAGAUAUUCCUUCUUCCCCAGCGGCCUCGCCGUCUCCAGCCGCCUUGCAGCAUCGGAUAACGAGGGGCGGCGCUGCGGCGGCCAUGGCGGGCGCGCGCUCACAUGGCGGUAUAUUUUGCUCGGAAUUGUGGAAUGGGCGGUUCGAAUUCCGAGAAAAUUAUUAUACCCCCCCCCCCCCCUCUCUCAAGUUGCUGCAAACGGUGCAGAGCCCACCCAUCGCUUGGAAACAGUUACAAUCCGCUCGCAGUGCUGAAUCUGUGAAUUGCGGUGCACACCGGGCCCAGACCGAAGCAUCCGAUGUUCACGGAGCCGCAUCCAUGGCGUGGGCACAGGAGUGCAGGCUGCGGCCCGUGCCCCGGCGCUCGCUUCCUAGGUGCAGGGCAGCGCGGCGGCCAAGUGCAAGCUGGCUUGGAGUAACUGUCCCCUGGGGCUCGGAUUUCGCUUGGCUGCUCGAUCGAAGCUUAAUCUCUUUGUGUCAAGAGAAGAGGACUGAAGGCAAGGUCAGGACGCGAUAGUAACAUGUCUCUUGGGAUCAGCAUUGCAAAACAGAAAGUUUAUGGAACGUAAAAAGAAAAGGUUCAUAUGUUGGUGAUAUGUUCUAGAAACGAUUGUAUAUGCAGAUUGAAUCUGUAAGUGAUAUUUAAUAUAAUUAAAAGUCUAUUAGGGUUUAUA